rnacentral:rRNA from 1 species
GACGAACGCUGGCGGCGUGCCUAAUACAUGCAAGUAGAACGCACAGUUUAUACCGUAGCUUGCUACACCAUAGACUGUGAGUUGCGAACGGGUGAGUAACGCGUAGGUAACCUGCCUGGUAGCGGGGGAUAACUAUUGGAAACGAUAGCUAAUACCGCAUAAUAUUAAUUAUUGCAUGAUAAUUAAUUGAAAGGUGCAAUUGCACCACUACCAGAUGGACCUGCGUUGUAUUAGCUAGUAGGUGAGGUAACGGCUCACCUAGGCGACGAUACAUAGCCGACCUGAGAGGGUGAUCGGCCACACUGGGACUGAGACACGGCCCAGACUCCUACGGGAGGCAGCAGUAGGGAAUCUUCGGCAAUGGACGAAAGUCUGACCGAGCAACGCCGCGUGAGUGAAGAAGGUUUUCGGAUCGUAAAGCUCUGUUGUAAGAGAAGAACGGGUGUGAGAGUGGAAAGUUCACACUGUGACGGUAUCUUACCAGAAAGGGACGACUAACUACGUG